rnacentral:lncRNA from 1 species
UGUGGUAUUGCGGUUGACCAGUUAAAGCUGUCUGCUGUAAGGAUUUGCCUGCUGAUUUCCUACAGGGAGACGCGGGGCCAGCUGGACCACAAGGCCGUAAAGGGCCCAUGGGUUCCAUUGGAUUGUUAGGACAGAGAGGCCCUCCGGGACUUUACGGAACCCGAGGACAUCCAGGGAUGGAUGGUAUUUCGGGUCAAAAGGGUGACAUGGGUGAAGUGGGUGAAAUGGGUGUAAAGGGAUUACCAGGCCUUGAAGGACCCAUGGGAAUCGCUGGACUGCCAGGUCUGAGGGGGGUUCCAGGCGGCACAGGCUUCAGAGGACCAGAUGGAGACAAAGGAGAAGCCGGACCCAAAGGAGACAGGGUAAAGACUUAA